AUGCUUGCAGGUAAACAAAUGGGAAACUAGGACACUAUAAGCAAGACUAUUUCAAUCUUCUACCAUUCUACUUCAACAGGAAACGUCAUUUACAAUGCAAAAUAGCACCACAUAGUUGACGGCAACCAAGAAUUUAAAGGUUGAGCAAGUCAAUAGACUACCUGAUAGCACCACAAGCUGCUUUGCGAAAAUAAGCAUGUGAGUGAAGCCGAUCUUGAAACUUCAGCAUUUCCACGUAGGUCCGCAGAGUCAUUUUCCUUAGGCAGUAAGAGUGGAAAUCGAAUUGGUCCUCUGUGAUAUCUGCAUAAUGCUUCUCGACUGCCAGAAAUUUCUUUAAGGCCCUUCCUAGCUCACCUUGAAUUGGUCCUCUGUGAUAUCCGCAUAAUGCUUCUCGACUGCAAGAAAUUUCUUUAAGGCCCUUCCUAGCUCACCUUGGCGAAAAUAGCUUUCCCCUGAUGCUAGUUCAUACC
rnacentral:lncRNA from 1 species